rnacentral:rRNA from 1 species
GACGAACGCUGGCGGCGUGCUUAACACAUGCAAGUCGAACGGAAAGGCCCUGCUUUUGUGGGGUGCUCGAGUGGCGAACGGGUGAGUAACACGUGAGUAACCUGCCCUUGACUUUGGGAUAACUUCAGGAAACUGGGGCUAAUACCGGAUAGGAGCUCCUGCUGCAUGGUGGGGGUUGGAAAGUUUCGGCGGUUGGGGAUGGACUCGCGGCUUAUCAGCUUGUUGGUGGGGUAGUGGCUUACCAAGGCUUUGACGGGUAGCCGGCCUGAGAGGGUGACCGGCCAAAUUGGGAAUGAGAUAAGGCCCAGACUCCUAAGGGAGGCAGCAGGGGGGAAUAAUGGCCAAUGGGCGGAAGCCUGAUGCAGCAACGCCGGGGGCGGGAAGACGGGCUUCGGGGUGUAAACCGCUUUCGCCUGUGACGAAGCGUGAGUGACGGUAAUGGGUAAAGAAGCACCGGCUAACUACGUG